GGGGGGGGGAUAUGGGGGAGUUGGGGGUCACAUACGGGGGGGUUGGGGGGAGUUGUAGGAUUUUGGGGUGACUUGGGGGGAUUUUGGGGUCUCUCGGCAGCGUGGCUGACACUUAUGGGGCAGCGGCUCUUCUUCGUCCUCUACCCCAAUACUGAGACCCACAGCGACCCCCCGCCCCAUAGCGAAGCUGAGCCCCACAGCAAGCUCCUGCCCCAUAGCGACCCCGUGCCCCAUAGCGACUCCCAGCCCCAUAGCGACCCCGUGCCCCAUAGUGACUCCCAGCCCCAUAGCGACACCCAGCCCCAUAGCGAUUCCCAGCCCCAUAGCGACCCCGUGCCCCAUAGCGACCCCCAGCCCCAUAGUGAAUCUGAGCCCCAUAGUGAAUCUGAGCCCCAUAGCGACCCCCAGCCCCAUAGCGACCCCGUGUCCCAUAGCGAAUCUGAGCCCCAUAGCGACCCCCAGCCCCAUAGUGAAUCUGAGCCCCAUAGUGACCCCCAGCCCCAUAGCGAGACCCACAAGUGACCCCUCAGCCCCAUAAGUGCCCUCCCAGCCCCACAAGUGAUCCCUCAGCCCCAUAAGUGCCCCCCCAGCCCCACAAGUGAUCCCUCAUCCCCAUAGUGAGACCCACAAGUGCUCCUCCAGCCCCACAAGUGCCCCCCCAGCCCCAUAGUGAGACCCAUAAGUGCCCCCCCCAGCCCCACAAGUGUCCCCCCAGCCCCACAAAUGCCCCCCCAGCCCCACAAGUGAUCCCUCAGCCCCAUAGUGAGACCCACAAGUGCCCCCCCAGCCCCAUAAGUGCCCCCCCAGCCCCACAAGUGACUCCUUGGCCCUAUAGUGAGACCCACAAGUGCUCCCCCACCCCACAAGUGCCCCCUCAUCCCCAUAGUGAGACCCACAAGUGCCCCCUCACCCCAUAAGUGCCCCCCCAGCCCCACAAGUGACCCCCAGCCCCACAAGUGACCCCUCGGCCCCAUAGUGAGACCCACAAGUGCUCCCCAGCCCCACAAGUGCCCCCCCAGACCCACAAGUGAACCCUCGGCCCCAUAGUGAGACCCACAAGUGCCCCCCCAGCCCCAUAAGUGCCCCCCCAGCCCCACAAGUGACUCCUUGGCCCUAUAGUGAGGCCCACAAGUGCUCCCCCACCCCACAAGUGCCCCCCCAGCCCCACAAGUGACCCCUCGGCCCCAUAGUGAGACCCACAAGUGCUCCCCAGCCCCACAAGUGCCCCCCCAGCCCCACAAGUGACUCCUUGGCCCUAUAGUGAGGCCCACAAGUGCUCCCCCACCCCACAAGUGCCCCCCCAGCCCCACAAGUGACCCCUCGGCCCCAUAGUGAGACCCACAAGUGCUCCCCAGCCCCACAAGUGCCCCCCCAGCCCCACAAGUGACUCCUUGGCCCUAUAGUGAGGCCCACAAGUGCUCCCCCACCCCACAAGUGCCCCCCCAGCCCCCCAUCGCCCCGCAGCUGAGCCCGUUGGGGCCGCCCCACACUCCGCCCCACAAGUGCCUCCGGCCCCACGGCAAUAAAGGUGCUCUCAGUGUAAGCGGAGCCCAUUUCUGUCGGCCCCACACAAAGUAUGGGGGGGUGUGGGGAGAACGAGGGGUACACAAAGGAUUUAUUGUAGGGCCGACGUAAAUAAUGG
rnacentral:lncRNA from 1 species